CUGUCAGGUGUGGACUUGUGU
rnacentral:piRNA from 1 species